rnacentral:rRNA from 1 species
AGAAUCAACGCUGGCGGCGUGCCUCAGACAUGCAAGUCGAACGAUUAAAGCUCUCUUCGGAGAGUGUAUAGAGUGGCGCACGGGUGAGUAACACGUAAGUAAUCUACCUUUGAGUGGGGAAUAACAUCGGGAAACCGAUGCUAAUACCGCAUAAUGCAGCGGCAUCGCAAGAUGACAGUUGUUAAAGAUUUAUCGCUUGAAGAGGAGCUUGCGGCAGAUUAGCUUGUUAGGUAAGGUAACGGCUUACCGAAGGCUACGAUCUGUAACCGGUCUAAGGAGGACGGUCGGUCACACUGACACUGAAUACGGGUCAGACUCCGUACGGGAGGCAGCGAGGUCGGGUAAUUUUGGGACAAGUGGGACGAAAGCCUAGACCCAGAC